UACGAAGGGGGCUAGCGUUGCUCGGAAUCACUGGGCGUAAAGCGCACGUAGGCGGAUUGUUAAGUCAGGAGUGAAAUCCUGGAGCUCAACUCCAGAACUGCCUUUGAUACUGGCGAUCUUGAGUCCGGGAGAGGUGAGUGGAACUGCGAGUGUAGAGGUGAAAUUCGUAGAUAUUCGCAAGAACACCAGUGGCGAAGGCGGCUCACUGGCCCGGUACUGACGCUGAGGUGCGAAAGCGUGGGGAGCAAACAGG
rnacentral:rRNA from 1 species